rnacentral:rRNA from 1 species
GCAGCAGUGGGAAUUUGCGCAAUGGCGAAAGCCUGACGCAGCGACGCCGCGUGAGGGAUGAAGGUCUUCGUGAUCGUAAACCUCUGUCAGGAAGGAUUAAAUGUGCAGGUGUCAAUACCAUCUGUACUUGACUUAACUUCCAGAGGAAGCCCCGGCUAACUACGUGCCAGCAGCCGCGGUAAUACGUAGGGGGCUAGCGUUACUCGGAUUUACUGGGCGUAAAGCGAAUGUAGGCGGUUAGAUAAGUCAGAGGUGAAUCCCUCAGCUUAACUGAGGAAUUGCCUUUGAUACUGUCUGACUUGAGGACAGGAGAGGAAAGUGGAAUUCCCGGUGUAGCGGUGGAAUGCGUAGAUAUCGGGAGGAACACCAGAGGCGAAGGCGGCUUUCUGGACUGAUCCUGACGCUGAGAUUCGAAAGCUAGGGGAGCAAACAGGAUUAGAUACCCUGGUAGUCCUAGCUGUAAACGAUGGAUACUAGAUUUUGCAAGUAUUUGCUUGGUCGAAGUUAACGGUUAAGUAUCCCGCCUGGGAGUACGUCGCAGCUGAA